AACGUAGGAGGCAAGCGUUAUCCGGAUUUACUGGGCGUAAAGCGCGUGCAGGCGGUUUGUCAAGUUGGAUGUGAAAGCUCCUGGCUCAACUGGGAGAGGUCGUUCAAAACUGACAGACUUGAGGGCGGUAGAGGGAGGUGGAAUUCCGUGUGUAGUGGUGAAAUGCGUAGAUAUACGGAGGAACACCAGUGGCGAAAGCGGCCUCCUGGACCGAUCCUGACGCUCAGACGCGAAAGCUAGGGGAGCAAACGGG
rnacentral:rRNA from 1 species